GACGAACGCUGGCGGCGUGCCUAAUACAUGCAAGUCGAACGAGUGGCGGGCGGGUGAGUAAUGUCUGGGAAACUGCCUGGUGGAGGGGGUUAACAACUGGAAACGGUAGCUAAUACCGCAUAACAUCAGAUGUGCCCAGAUGGGAUUAGCUUGUUGUUGGGGUAACGGCGCACCAAGGCGACGAUCCCUAGCGGGUCUGACAGGAUGACCAGCAACAUGGGAACUGAGACACGGCCCAGACUCCUACGGGAGGCAGCAGUGGGGAAUUUUGCACAAUGGGCGCAAGCCUGAUGCAGCCAUGCCGCGGGUAUGAAGAAGGCCUUCGGGUUGUAAAGUACUUUCAGCGGGGAGGCGGUACCCGCAGAAGAAGCACCGGCUAACUACGUGCCAGCAGCCGCGGUAAUUC
rnacentral:rRNA from 1 species